AGCGAACGCUGGCGGCAGGCUUAACACAUGCAAGUCGAGCGGGCACUUCGGUGUCAGCGGCAGACGGGUGAGUAACACGUGGGAACGUACCCUUCGGUUCGGAAUAACGCUGGGAAACUAGCGCUAAUACCGGAUACGCCCUUUUGGGGAAAGGUUUACUGCCGAAGGAUCGGCCCGCGUCUGAUUAGCUAGUUGGUGGGGUAAUGGCCUACCAAGGCGACGAUCAGUAGCUGGUCUGAGAGGAUGAUCAGCCACACUGGGACUGAGACACGGCCCAGACUCCUACGGGAGGCAGCAGUGGGGAAUAUUGGACAAUGGGCGCAAGCCUGAUCCAGCCAUGCCGCGUGAGUGAUGAAGGCCUUAGGGUUGUAAAGCUCUUUGGUCCGGGACGAUAAUGACGGUACCGGAAGAAUAAGCCCCGGCUAACUUCGUG
rnacentral:rRNA from 1 species